CAAUAGCGUAUAUUAAAGUUGUUGCAGUUAAAAAGCUCGUAGUUGGAUUUCUGCGAGGGUGCCAAUGUCCGCCGACGCGCGUGCGCAGCGGCGCCCUCGCAUCCUUCUGUUACCACCUCUCGGCAUUCACUUGCCGGUGGUCGGCUCAGAGAAUUUACCUUGAGAAAAUUAGAGUGUCUCAGGCAGGCUAGGCCGGAAUACAUUAGCAUGGAAUAAUGGAAUAGGACUACGGUCUCGUUGUUGGUUUGAGGGACUGCAGUAAUGAUUAAUAGGGAUAGUUGGGGGCAUUAGUAUUUAAUUGUCAGAGGUGAAAUUCUCAGAUUUGUUAAAGACUAACUUAUGCGAAAGCAUUUGCCAAGGAUGUUUUCAUUAA
rnacentral:rRNA from 1 species